GCAGGGAGCUGCGGGUCGGGACUGAGGGUCACUGGAAGAGCUGGGGGAGCCCAGGGCUGGGAUAGCAGGGACUGAGGGUCAGGACUGAGGGGCAGCAGAGCUGUGAGUGGGGGCAGCCCAGGGCUGGGAUAGCAGGGGGCUGUAGGUCAUGAGUGAGAGGCACUGGAGCAGCUGGGGGUUGGGGGGCAGGGCUAGGAUAACAGAGGUGCAGCUCAGGACUGAGGGGCAUGGAAGAGUUGGGUGGAGCCCAGGCGGGGGAUAGCAGGGGGCUGCGUGUUGGGAGUGAGGGGCACCGGUAGAGCUUGGGGGAGCAGGGCUGGGAUAGCAGAGGUGCGAGUUGGGAGUGAGGGGCACCGGUAGAGCUUGGGGGAGCAGGGCUGGGAUAGCAGGGGUGCAGGCUGGGAGUGAGGGGCACCGGUAGAGCUUGGGGGAGCAGAGCUGGGAUAGCAGGGGUGCGGGCUGGGAGUGAGGGGCACCAGCAGAGCUUGGGGGAGCAGGGCUGGGAUAGCAGGGGUGCGGGCUGGGAGUGAGGGGCAUGGGUAAGUUCGGGGAGGGGGCAGGGAAAGGAUAACAGGGGCUGCGGGUUGGGAGUGAGGGAUGCCAGCAGAACGGGGGUGCUGCGGGGUCCGGCAGAGGCAGGCGCCAUGGGUGCUGACAUGUACUGGCUGUGGGGCAUGCAGGCUGGAAUGUUCUUUGCUCUGUGGGGAGUGGCGGGGGGGCGUGCAGCGCUGGGGGGGAGGGCCGAGGCGUAACUCGGGGUUACGGGUGCCCAGUGCCAGGGAUUAGGCUGGCAAAUGCAAAUCCCCUGGGUUAACCCUUUAUUGGCUGCAGACAAAGCAGGGACAAAUGGGGGUGGGUAUUCCCCCCCCAUAUGUCAGAAGGGGGUCCUCUAUCUGGGGGGUGUGUAGAGACCGCAGAAAUCCCCACUCCCCUUCCUACCAUGUGUCACUGCUGGCAGGUUAGAGCAGGGGGCUGGGAGCCAGGGCUCCGGGGUUCUCUCCUGGCUCUGGCAGGGGAGUGGGGUGCAAUGGUUGAAGUGGGGGGGGGUAUGGAUGCGUAGCUGCAGGCUGAGCAGCGCUGGGUGGGGAGAUGCAGAGGGAGGCUGGUGGGACUCAGCGUCCAAAAGGCGUGAGGCCAGGCCCAGGGUCCUCUCUCCUGCCCCCUCCUCCCACCCUGGGGUCUCCUGGCUUGAAGUGGGGGGCAGGGUUAUCAUCUGCAAACACUGCUGGCAGGCUGGGGGGCACAAGGCCACAUCUCUAUCAUAACAGACCUUUGGCCCCAGCAGACCCACCAGGCAGGGACUGGGUGUGAAUGACCCUGGCCCUGCCCCCAAUCCUGCCAUGGAUUGUACCCCUGCCAUAGCCCCACCCCCAGUACCUUCCAUUCCAUCCCGCCAGACCCCCCCCACUCCUGCCACAGCUCCACCCCGCCCCCCACUACCUCCCAUCCUGGCCCUGCCACGGCCCCACCCACCAGCCCUGUUUCUUCCCCCCAGGACCUCUUACCCCAGCCCUGUCCCCUGUACCUCCCCACCCCUUCCAUGGCCCCCCCAUGUCCUCCCACCCCAGCCCUGCCCCCUGUACCUCCCCACCCCUUCCAUGGCCCCCCCAGUGUCCUCCCACCCCAGCCCUGCCCCCUGUACCUCCCCACCCCUUCCAUGCCCCCCCCCGUUGUCCUCCCACCCCGGCCCUGUCCUCUGUAUCUCCCCACCCCUUCCAUGGC